GACGAACGCUGGCGGCGUGCCUAAUACAUGCAAGUCGAGCGGAGCGGCGGACGGGUGAGUAAUGCCUAGGUAUCGGCCUGUUAGUGGUGGAUAACGUCCGGAAACGGGCGUUGAUACCGCAUACUAUCAGAUGAGCCUAGGUCGGAUUAGCUAGUUGGUGGGGUAAAGGCCUACCAAGGCGACGAUCCGUAACUGGUCUGAGAGGAUGAUCAGUCACACGGGAACUGAGACACGGUCCAGACUCCUACGGGAGGCAGCAGUGGGGAAUAUUGGACAAUGGGCGAAAGCCUGAUCCAGCCAUGCCGCGUGUGUGAAGAAGGUCUUCGGAUUGUAAAGCACUUUAAGUUGGGAGGCGUUACCAACAGAAUAAGCACCGGCUAACUUCGUGCCAGCAGCCGCGGUAAUAC
rnacentral:rRNA from 1 species